rnacentral:rRNA from 1 species
CAACGCGAAGAACCUUACCUACUCUUGACAUCCAGAGAAGCCAGCGGAGACGCAGGUGUGCCUUCGGGA